AGAGUUUGAUCCUGGCUCAGGAUGAACGCUAGCGACAGGCUUAACACAUGCAAGUCGAGGGGCAGCGGGGGUGAUGGCUUGCCAUCACCUGCCGGCGACCGGCGCACAGGUGAGUAACACGUAUGCAACCUGCCCGCCACAGGGGGAUAAGCGGAAGAAAUUCCGUCUAAUACCGCGUGACGCGGCGUCGGGGCAUCCCGGUGCCGCCAAAGGGAUUACCGGUGGCGGAUGGGCAUGCGGCGCAUUAGCUAGUCGGCGGGGUAACGGCCCACCGAGGCGACGAUGCGUAGGGGUUCUGAGAGGAAGGUCCCCCACACUGGUACUGAGACACGGACCAGACUCCUACGGGAGGCAGCAGUGAGGAAUAUUGGUCAAUGGGCGGGAGCCUGAACCAGCCAAGUCGCGUGAGGGAUGACGGUCCUACGGAUUGUAAACCUCUUUUGCCGGGGAGCAAGCGUGCGUUCGUGAACGCGCGUCGAGAGUACCCGGAGAAAAAGCAUCGGCUAACUCCGUGCCAGCAGCCGCGGUAAUACGGAGGAUGCGAGCGUUAUCCGGAUUUAUUGGGUUUAAAGGGUGCGUAGGCGGGAUGCCAAGUCAGCGGUAAAAAUGCGGUGCUCAACGCCGUCGAGCCGUUGAAACUGGCGUUCUUGAGUGGGCGAGAAGUAUGCGGAAUGCGUGGUGUAGCGGUGAAAUGCAUAGAUAUCACGCAGAACUCCGAUUGCGAAGGCAGCAUACCGGCGCCCUACUGACGCUGAGGCACGAAAGCGUGGGUAUCGAACAGGAUUAGAUACCCUGGUAGUCCACGCAGUAAACGAUGAAUGCUAACUGUCCGGUGCGAGUGAGCGCUGGGCGGUACAGCGAAAGCGUUAAGCAUUCCACCUGGGGAGUACGCCGGCAACGGUGAAACUCAAAGGAAUUGACGGGGGCCCGCACAAGCGGAGGAACAUGUGGUUUAAUUCGAUGAUACGCGAGGAACCUUACCCGGGCUCAAACGCAGGAUGACGGGUCCCGAAAGGGGCCUUUCUUCGGACAUUCUGCGAGGUGCUGCAUGGUUGUCGUCAGCUCGUGCCGUGAGGUGUCGGCUUAAGUGCCAUAACGAGCGCAACCCCUGUCCACAGUUGCCAGCAGGUAAAGCUGGGGACUCUGUGGAGACUGCCGGCGCAAGCUGCGAGGAAGGCGGGGAUGACGUCAAAUCAGCACGGCCCUUACGUCCGGGGCGACACACGUGUUACAAUGGCAGGUACAGCGGGAUGCCACGGGGCGACCCGGCGCUGAACCCGAAAACCUGUCUCAGUUCGGAUUGGAGUCUGCAACCCGACUCCAUGAAGCUGGAUUCGCUAGUAAUCGCGCAUCGGCCACGGCGCGGUGAAUACGAUGGCCGGGCCUUGCACACACCGCCCGUCA
rnacentral:rRNA from 1 species